rnacentral:lncRNA from 1 species
CUCAUCAGUUAACUAUGCAAGCCAAAAUAAAACAUGUUAUUUCAUACAGGACAACAAAUAAACAUGGUUUUUUACAUGUCUUUUUAUAUAGAACACAAAAAGCACAAACUACAAGAGUAUAAUUGAUAAACAGGACUUCUUCAAAAUUAAAAUUUCCUAUUUGAAAGACACCAUUUUAAAAAAUUAAAAUAGGGCCAGGUGCGAUGGCUCACACCUGUAAUCCCAGCACAGAGGUCAGGAGUUUGAGACUAGCCUGGCCAACAUGGUGAAACCCCAUCUCUACUAAAAAUACACACACACACAAAAUUAGCCAGGCAUGGUGACAUGCACCUGUAAUCCCAGCUAUUCGGGAGGCUGAGACAGGAGGACUGCAUGAACCCAGGAGGCAGAGGUUGCAGUGAGCCAAGAUCGCACCAUUGCACUCCAGCCUGGGUGACAGAGCGAGACUCGGUCUCAAAAAUAAAAUAUAAAAUAAAAUAAAAUAAAAAUAGGAGCCACAUACUGUAAUACCCAACCCUAAUAAAAGACUUGUAUCCAGAACAUCUAAAGAAGGCUUAAAACGCAACAAGACAAACAAUGCAAUAAUACAACAAAAACAGAUGAGAGACUUGAGCUGGUAUUUCACCAACACAGAUACAUAAGUGAAGUGUGCAGCAUCAGUCCUCGGGCAACACAAAUUAAAGACACCAUGAGUUACCACUACACAACCAACAGAAUGAAGAUAAAAACACUGAAAAUAACCAUUGUAAGGGAGGAUGAUAGGAAUAUAAAAUGUUACAACAACUAUGGAAAACAGUUUGUGAGAUUUGUUUAAAAGUUAAAUGUAGACUUAACAUAUUAACCAGAACUUCCACUCCAAGAAACUGACCCAGUGAAACAAGCCCACACAGACUUGUAUACAUGAAGGUUCCUAGCAACUUUAUCUGCAAUAGCCAAAGGACCAUCAAUAAACAGCCAAAGGGGAAUCAAUAGGUGAGUGGGUAAAUAGCCAAACAACCAUCAACAGGUGAAUGGAUAAACAGCCAAAUGACCCUCAAUAGGUGAAUGGCUAAGCCACCACAGUGUGGAUGAACCUCAAGACUGUGGCAGUGUGGGGCCAGGUCCCAGCAGCCGUUGUAACAAACGACGCUCAAUAGGUGAAUGGCUAAGCCACCACAAUGUGGAUGAAUCUCAAGACUGGACAGUGUGGGGCCAGGUCCCAGCAGCCGUUGUCAGGGCAGCCUAGGAGGCUGUCAGCACCACUGCUACCAGAACAGCUCUCAGAAAGAAAAGACCAGAGUAACAGUGUUUGCCUUUAGGCUGAGCUACUUGGUGUCUGUGCUGCUCACGUUCACAGCCACAGGACCCAUCCCAAUACCCAUAGAGGCAACAUGAAGGUUGGACCCAGAGACUGCUGUGGGCCCUGCCCUGGGCUCUCCACUCAGGGAGUAUCACAGCACCUCACUCCUGGCCAUAAAGGUAAUACUUUCUCUUUUUUUUUUUUGAGACAGAGUCUUGCUCUGUCGCCCAGGCUGGGGUGCAGUGACGCGACGUCAGCUCACUGCAACCUCUGCUUCCUGAGUAGCUGGGAUUACAGGCAUUCACCACCACACCCAGCUAAUUUUGUAUUUUUGGUAGAGACGGGGUUUCACCAUGUUGUCUAGGCUGGUCUUGAACUCCUGACCUCAAGUGAUCUAUCUGCCUGCCUCAGCCUCCCAAAGUGC